rnacentral:rRNA from 1 species
AACGAACGCUGGCGGCAUGCCUAACACAUGCAAGUCGAACGAGACCUUCGGGUCUAGUGGCGCACGGGUGCGUAACGCGUGGGAACCUGCCCUUGAGUUCGGAAUAACUCCCCGAAAGAGGUGCUAAUACCGGAUAAUAUCUUCGGACCAAAGAUUUAUCGCCUUUGGAUGGGCCCGCGUUGGAUUAGCUAGUUGGUAGGGUAAAAGCCUACCAAGGCGACGAUCCAUAGCUGGUCUGAGAGGAUGAUCAGCCACACUGGGGGUGAGACACGGCGCAGAAUACUACAGGAUGCAGCAGUGGGUAAUACAGGACAAUGGGCGAAAGCCUGAUGCAGCAAUGCUGGGUGAGUGAUGAAGGCCGUAGGGUUGUAAAGCUCGUUUACCCGGGAUGAUAAUGACAGUACCGGGAGAAUAAGCACCGGCUAACUCCGUG